GCUGCGAUAGCCUAGUGGUUAGGGCUCCACGUUGUGGUUCCUUAGCACCCCAGGUUCGAAACCUGGUCACGGCA
rnacentral:tRNA from 1 species